GACGAACGCUGGCGGCGUGCUUAACACAUGCAAGUCGAACGGAAAGGCCAUGCUUUUGCGGGGUGCACGAGAGGCGAACGGGUGAGUAUCACGCGAGUAACAUGCACUUGACUUUGGGAUAACUUCAGGAAACUGGGGCUAAUACCGGAUAGGAGCUACUGCUGCAUGGUGGGGGUUGGAAAGAUUCGGCGGUUGGGGAUGGACUCGCGGCUUAUCAGCUUGUUGGUGGGGUAGUGGCUUACCAAGGCUUUGAAGGGUAGCCGGCCUGGGAGGGGGAACGGCGACAAGGGGACUGCGAUACGCCGCAGACUCCUACGGGAGGCAGCGGUGGGGAAUAUUGCACAGUGGGCGGAAGCCUGAUGCAGCGACGCCGCGUGCGUGAUGACGUCCUUCUGGUUGUAAACCGCUGUCGCCUGUGACGAAGCGUGAGUGACGGUAAUGGGUAAAGAAGCACCGGCUAACUACGUG
rnacentral:rRNA from 1 species